CGCUGGCGGCAUGCCUAACACAUGCAAGUCGAACGGGACCUUCGGGUCUAGUGGCGCACGGGUGCGUAACGCGUGGGAAUCUGCCCUUAGGUACGGAAUAACUCAGGGAAACUUGAGCUAAUACCGUAUAAUGACUUCGGUCCAAAGAUUUAUCGCCUAAGGAUGAGCCCGCGUAGGAUUAGCUUGUUGGUGAGGUAAAAGCUCACCGAGGCGACGAUCCUUAGCUGGUCUGAGAGGAUGAUCAGCCACACUGGGACUGAGACACGGCCCAGACUCCUACGGGAGGCAGCAGUGGGGAAUAUUGGACAAUGGGCGAAAGCCUGAUCCAGCAAUGCCGCGUGAGUGAUGAAGGCCUUAGGGUUGUAAAGCUCUUUUACCCGGGAUGAUAAUGACAGUACCGGGAGAAUAAGCUCCGGCU
rnacentral:rRNA from 1 species